rnacentral:rRNA from 1 species
ACGGGUGAGUAAUACAUCGGAACGUGCCCUGUAGUGGGGGAUAACUAGUCGAAAGAUUAGCUAAUACCGCAUACGACCUGAGGGUGAAAGUGGGGGACCGCAAGGCCUCAUGCUAUAGGAGCGGCCGAUGUCUGAUUAGCUAGUUGGUGAGGUAAAGGCUCACCAAGGCGACGAUCAGUAGCUGGUCUGAGAGGACGAUCAGCCACACUGGGACUGAGACACGGCCCAGACUCCUACGGGAGGCAGCAGUGGGGAAUUUUGGACAAUGGGGGCAACCCUGAUCCAGCAAUGCCGCGUGUGUGAAGAAGGCCUUCGGGUUGUAAAGCACUUUUGUCCGGAAAGAAAUCGCACUUACUAAUAUUAGGUGUGGAUGACGGUACCGGAAGAAUAAGGACCGGCUAACUACGUGCCAGCAGCCGCGGUAAUACGUAGGGUCCAAGCGUUAAUCGGAAUUACUGGGCGUAAAGCGUGCGCAGGCGGUUGUGCAAGACCGAUGUGAAAUCCCCGGGCUUAACCUGGGAAUUGCAUUGGUGACUGCACGGCUAGAGUGUGUCAGAGGGGGGUAGAAUUCCACGU